CAGGAACCUGAAUAAUACAUAUGAGCAGCCCGACCCCCAUUACUAGAACCAGGACCCAUCAAACCACCCUGUACUCACCCAGCAGAGCGAGCAUUAAACCGAGGACAACACAGACUAACAGUGAGACUCCAUUGUCCGAAAGCUCCGAAGUUUCACCCACUGGUGCGUCAGAUAAUGAAGAGACCAUAACCCUAUUAAAGAAACGGAAGUCCCAAAUCUGCACAGUCAUGUGACUAGAUGCAAGUCCAAGUUAAUGUGGUUGGUUAAUUGAAAGCAUUCAUAGGAAUGACUCUAUUGAGUGUAUUUCUAUGGCUCAAGUCUGCUCUUUGCACAUUGGUAUUAAAAAUUCUAAUGCACAUGUAAGUGUUACUGUAUAACAUUGUCUGUCUCAUCUCCUGCACGUACAAGUGUUGCCUUGUCAUUGCAUUUGUCUUCCAAACAUUCCCUGUUUUUAUUUUUUUAUUUUUUAUUUCACCUUUAUUUAACCAGGUAGGCCAGUUGAGAACAAGUUCUCAUUUACAACUGCGACCUGGCCAAGAUAAAGCAAAGCAGUGUGACACAGACAACAACACAGAGUUACACGUGGAAUAAACAAUAAACAAGCCAAUAACACAAUAAACAAGUCAAUGACACAGUAGAAAAAAAAGAAAGUCUAUAUACAGUGUGUGGAAAAGGCAUGAGGAGGUAGGCAAUAAACAGGCCACAGGAGCGAAUAAUUACAAUUUAGCAGAUUAACGCUGGAGUGAUAAAUGAGCAGAUGUGUAUGCUGGUCAUUGUCCCCCACACUGAAAUUGGGGAAGGGACUGUGGAUCUGUUUCCGUCCGUUAGUACGUUCAUAUGUUAGUCACAAGCGAUAUCUCAGACAGCAUUGGCCCGGUUUUGACUAAACUUUGGUGAAUGAUGCAUCUUGCCAUAGCUUUACGGCAUUUAGAAAAUUACACUGAUUGGCCAGAUGGUGGCUCUGUAACGAGAUUGAAAAUGCAAACUUUGUAAGGUCAUGCCCCUCACCCCGUUUGACCUUAAGUCAUGAAAUUUAGUAGAUCGGUCCCUGUCUUCACAAGGAACAAAUUUGCCUCCGGACCCAUAAGUUCCGACCAUUAUGAUUUUCCACCAUUUUGAAUUGUGUGAAAAACACUUAACCCUACUCUUCUGAUACCGAAUGACCAAUCUGCACGAAACUUGAUAUGUGGCAUUUAUGGAAAACGAUCUCUCAACGCAAUAUUUUCCAGGCUGGUAGCUAAAUCAACAUGGCCGCUAUUGACCAAUAAACAUUCACCUGGGUGUGGUCUGGCACAUGCAUAUAUAUCAGUCAAUGAUAUUCGUAUUGUAACGGAAUUUGGUAAACACUGUCAAGACUCAACAUAUGCAAGAACAUUCAUAUCGACCUUCCUGUGGCGCUAUAACGGGCAUAUAUCUGUUGAUCUGUUUGACUUAGUGAUUUAAAUUUGGCAUGCAUGUUUAGGGAUAUGAGUUAAUCCACACGAUAUCUCAGACACCACUGGCCCAAUUUUUACAAAAUUUGGGUGAAUGAUUAGUCAUGCCAUAGAGAUCUGUCAUUGACAAAAUUAUACCUUUUGGGCCGGGGGUGGGGGGGGCUAUAGUAAUCAACUGUACAUACGUUAGUCAUUUGUGGGGGGAUGACAUGUUUACUGGUGCCUUAUUUCAAGGUGUCUUGGUAGUCAAUAUUCUAAGAUUGUUAUCAUGUGUAUCAUUUCUUCGAUCAUGCUAACUUAAAUCUCUGCUCUUCACUUGAAUCAUGGUUGUACAAUUUGAAAUAAAUGUCAUGUGUUUUUGAA